rnacentral:rRNA from 1 species
CCUACGGGAGGCAGCAGUGAGGAAUAUUGGUCAAUGGGCGCGAGCCUGAACCAGCCAAGCAGCGUGAAGGAUGACUGCCCUACGUGUUGUAAACUUCUUUUAUAAAGGAAUAACGAGAGGCUCGUGUGCCUUUUUGUAUGUACUUUAUGAAUACGGAUCGGCUAACUCCGUGCCAGCAGCCGCGGUAAUACGGAGGAUCCGAGCGUUAUCCGGAUUUAUUGGGUUUAAAGGGAGCGUAGAUGGGUUGUUAAGUCAGUUGUGAAAGUUUGCGGCUCAACCGUGAAAUUGCAAUUGAUACUGGCAGCAUUGAGUACAGUAGAGGUAGGCGGAAUUCGUGGUGUAGCGGUGAAAUGCUUAGAUAGCACGAAGAACUCCGAUGGCGAAGGCAGCUUACUAAACUGACACUGACAUUGAUGCUCGAAAGUGUGGGUAUCAAACAGGAUUAGAUACCCGUGUAGUC